rnacentral:rRNA from 1 species
GACGAACGCUGGCGGCGUGCUUAACACAUGCAAGUCGAACGGAAAGGCCCUGCUUUUGUGGGGUGCUCGAGUGGCGAACGGGUGAGUAACACGUGAGUAACCUGCCCUUGACUUUGGGAUAACUUCAGGAAACUGGGGCUAAUACCGGAUAGGAGCUCCUGCUGCAUGGUGGGGGUUGGAAAGUUUCGGCGGUUGGGGAUGGACUCGCGGCUUAUCAGCUUGUUGGUGUGGUAGUGGCUUACCAAGGCUUUGACGGGUAGCCGGCCUGAGAGGGUGACCGGGCACAUGGGGACUGAGGUACGGAGCAGAAUCGUACGGGCGGCAGUAGUGGGGAACAUUGCGCAACGACGGGGAGCCUGAUGCAGAAACGCUGCGUGCGGGAUGCCGGCUUUCGGGGUGUAAACCGAUUUCGAAUGUGCCGAAGAGUGAGUGACGGUACCGGGUAAGGAAGCAACGGCUAACUACGUG